GCAGGUGGCUCUUGGCAGAGAUAAGCCCUCCAGGAGCAGAUGUCUUUCAACAUCACUCCAGCAGCUGUGACUGUCUUUUGUCCUGAGUCAUGGGGCCCCAGUGUCCACCAUAGGGAACUGGAGGAAAAGGACAUAAUCCUUAGCUAAGAGAGAAGCAUGCUGUUUGGUUGUUGAACCUUCUGCUGGGAUCGUCUACCCUCCCAGGAGCUCCUUUGGAAGGGCCCUCUUUUCAAGAUGACUCAUUACUAGCACUGAAGGCUCACAUCUUGGGAGAUCUUUCAGUCCUGGACAGAUUGGGAUGCCUGGUCACCCUAAGACAUAUGGACCCAAAGCAGCCACAACAUCACAUGUUUAGACUUUUCCAUUGUGAAUCAAAUACCCAUUUCCAUGCCCAUCGAACUUUGGGGACUCAUGCAAAACCUUCCAAGCGGGCCCUGUGAAGCCCUCACACUAGGCUUGAGGCAGAGGGGAAGUGUAUACUCCUGCGCCUAUUGAAGUAGAAAACAGAACACAGCAGCUAA